GGGACAGACUCCUGCGACAUCCGUGGUAGCAACAGACGUGUGCAGAUCAACAAUGGAUAAUAUGGAGUGAUGGAGAGAGUACGACAAUGCAGCGUUUAAAGCGUGGAAGUAAUCACAUUACUUUCAGUAAAAAGUGACACAAACAUUAGCGUCUGCUGUUCACUCUGCGUGGGAAGAAAACCUCUUUCUACAGCGAAAAAUUCAACUUCAAAUCUAAGCGAGCAGCGAGCACGCUGCCACGGGAACGUGACAUUAACAGAGAAACCCCCGGAUCCUCCCACUGACAUGACCGCUGUGGGCAAACCUAGACCCGCCCCACUCCUGCUAAACACAGACAACAGAUUUAAGAGCCGCUGAGUCUUUGAUUCUAUUCAUUUUUACUGUGUUUUACUUGCAUCUAUUUGAAAGAGUGUAAACACAAAACAUGAUUUUAUUUUAUAUGCUGGAAUAUGCAGAACAUAGGUUUAAAUGUUAAACACAUUUCUUCAAGUCAAAGACUAUUGAUAACAUUUAAUGUUUGAUGCAUAAAGAUAAAAGAGUAAAACUCAUAAAACAAGUGUUGAUUACAUUUUAUAUGAUGGAUUAUGCAUAAAAAGUAGAAUUGGGCUGAAAGGUCUGUUGCUACAUUCAGGUUGUGUAUCAUGUUUUCAAAAAGUAACUAAGUAAUAAAGUAACUAAUUACUAUUUUCAAGUAACUUAACCAACACUGGUUAGAAAUGUGUAUUGUUUAUGUGUUUGCAAUAAAUCAAAUCAUUCUUGCUUUUUUAUGUAGAAGCAGAUGCACAGCUGUUCAUCGAGCUCAGCACCUUUGACUGAGGUGCUGAGCCAGCUGUUGUACAGUGAUAUUACUGCAGUAGCACGGCUCUCCAUAGUCUCUGCUCUUAUGCUGAACAUUUUCCUCAUGUCAAGGCUGCCCAACCUUCCAACCUACUACUGAAAACUAAAAAAAAAUAGCCUUGGGUUUCUCACUAAUCAGCACAUGCUGUAAUAAGUGCAUUGAAAGGCUAAAUGGAAACAAAAACUGGUGACUUCAAAGCCUCCCCUAUGUACCCCCCCCCCCCCCCCCCCCCCUUUAGCAAACACUACGGGGAACUGUAAGGAGUAAGUUGAAUUUGAGACUUGAAUUUGCCCAGCUCCCCUUUCUUAAUAAUCGAGCUGUAAGAGCCUGAGCUGGAGCCAUCUGUGUGGUGCCCUCAAAAAUAAUGAGGCAGCACUGUUAGGAUUUCAGGUCAUUAUAUUAGUUUUAGUGAUGGAUGGAAAUGGAUUUUUGCUAAGCAGUACUGAAUGGGGCAAAGCUGAGCCAUAAUUAAAAAAUAACAAGUACUGUAGAAGAGAAUGACUAUGAAUGUUAAAUCUGUUUUUCUGGUUUCACAUCAGGAAUAUUUAGAAGCGUGAAUUAACUGCUCUGAAUAGACUAAUAGAUAGAUGCAUCCUGUAAGAGCAACAUGUGUGAAGAUGUUUUGAGGAUGCGUUUCCAUGGCAGCAGAGUCAAGUGCUGAUGGAUCAUGGGGUGGCGGCCUGGAUCCCAUCCCAGCUGCAACAGGAGAUUUUCUGUCUCACUUCCACCAUCCUCACCUCCAUUUUCCCGAGCAAGAAGAGGAGAGCAUGAGUAAGAAAGCACCCUCUACACCUGGAACCUCUGGCAAAUGAGUAGGUGGAGGUUUAGGAUAGCCAGGAGCCAGAGUUGCUCGUGGAUCCAUCGUGGAUGAUGGUGGGCUGCCACAGAGCAUGAAGAAGAGAAGAAGGGAGGCAAAAUAAAUUUUGGCUCAAAGCUCCAGGAGCAAAAACAGAAAAAGUACUAACCAUAGUCCCACAACGAUUUCUGCACAGAAACCUUGAGCAGCCAUCUUUUUAGAUAGUUAUUACAUGCUGUGUAAAUAAAUCUUAUCAACUGCACUAAAAUACACAUAAAUACCGUGC
ensembl:lncRNA